CAGAUGUGAUUUGCAGGAGGUUUCACUUCUCACCGAGCCUCUGUUGAAAUGAUGCCAUUUGAAAGGAAUCCUAGCCCCAAUGGCUCUCAGUCUUCUGGGAGCUCCCAGUCAGUGACGUGAUUUACUCUGGAGAAGAACAUUGGAAUUCCACAUUUAUAAAAACCCUGUAUUCACCUGUUCGAUUUACUGUCCAGAAAAAGGCUCUGUCAAAUCGUUAAGGAUGUCCUCAGGAUAAUAUAAAAAAUCCAUGUAACUGCAGUAGAAAAAUGGCUAUCAUCUAUAAUAAUAAAAGUGUAAUAUGCUAAUUAGACUGGACAGCUGAACGACCUUCUGGACGUCCUUCGGACGACCUUCCAGAGGAAGUCCAGGCUGCGAGGGAAGCCCAGGUCCUGGGUGCCAGAGGGAAGCUGGUGCCGGCAGCUGGGGGAAGGCCUAAUCUGCACGAAUUUCAUGUAUUGGGCCUCCAGUUGACUUAUAAAUUUAAUUUGAGUUUUUCUUGUCAUUGAAUUGAUUUUGGCUUUUGUUGCUUGGGAUAAUAUAGUUUGUUUUCAGUGUA